GAUCAGUGAAAACCACGUGAUCAUCCACGAGUGCGGUGCAGAGUCGCUGAGAUAACCGGAACUGCAGAUGCUGGAGAAUCCGAGAUAACACGGUGUGCAGCUGGAUGUGCACAGCAGGUCAAGCAGCAUCAGAGGAGCAGGAAAGCUGAUGUUUCGGGCCUAGAUCCUUCGCUGAGACCAAGAUUUGUGCAAUUGAGAUACCAGCGAUCGUUGCCAAAGCCCUGUUACCUGUGGGGAAGGUGAUGUUUAACUUUCGUGUGCUACUGCAGUUUGUAUGAUAAAGGUGCUCUCACAAUGCUCCAUUUGAGAAGUUACAGAUCAUUCAUCUAGCGAUACUGAAGAGCUAAUGGUGAUAUUACAAGUGGACUUUCAGGUAGGAAGCUCAAUAAUUGUAACACCAAACUCUGACAGAAUUACUCAAUUCAUCAGGACCUGGAUAUUCGCAUUGUGUGUGAGUAUUGUGUUCCUGCUCAUUCCCAUUUGCCAUGUAAAAUUUCUCUCUUAUUACUCCAUUCUCUCAAUAGAUCUUUCCUACAACUUUCAAUAUAUGUCCUGUAGUCCUUUUUAUGGCCAGUUGAGUGUACGUUUUACCAUUCUAAUGUUUAUCUUUUGUAAACACCUCCUAUCAAAGGUCCCCUCAAAAUCCUUUGUUACAAGGAGAUCAAUCUCAGUUUCCCCAAGCACCUGAUUACCGAAUGACAGUUUGCUUCUUGUGUGUAAGGCACUCAUCCACUUUUCACUUCCACUUCCCUGCAUGA